rnacentral:rRNA from 1 species
GACGAACGCUGGCGGCGUGCCUAAUACAUGCAAGUCGAACGCAGUGGGGACGGGUGAGUAACACGUGGGUAACCUCCCAUCAGAGGGGAUAACACUUGGAAACAGGUGCUAAACCGAUACAGAUGGAUGGACCCGGGGUGCAUUAGCUAGUUGGUGAGGUAACGGCUCACCAAGGCCACGAUGCAUAGCCGGCCUGAGAGGGUGAUCGGCAACACUGGGACUGAGACCCGGCCCAGACUCCUACGGGAGGCAGCAGUGGGGAAUAUUGGACAAUGGGCGCAAGCCUGAGGCAGCCAUGCCGCGUGUAUGAAGAAGGCCUUCGGGUUGUAAAGUACUUUCAGCGGGGAGGCGUUACCCGCAGAAUAAGCACCGGCUAACUCCGUGCCAGCAGCCGCGGUAAUUC